ACUCAAUGUUUUUUAAAUCACUUAAAACAACCCAAUUUUAUGACCUCGCUCAAUAAUUAUACAUUAUGAUAAAAGUAAUAAUAUAUACCAAGUAUAUAUCUACUGUUAGUCAUUAAAAAAGUAUUCACAAUAUAUUUUGAAUACUAUGUAGGUAUUUCAAACAUAGCUCCUUUUAAAAAUUUUUUAAAUCAUAGGGUAGUUUACCUUUACAACUCUUAUUCUCUAUUCUAAUUGAUUGCUGGAUUUUUUUUUUUAAUAAUUUAAGUUUUAAUUCAGUCAUUUUUAACUUGUCCUAUAUACAAGUAACGAGGUAACUCCACUGUACUCUUCAUUGAUUAUGCGCUGUAUAAUUAUGUUAUCCAGUCCUUCUGGGUGUCCCAAUGCAUGACCAACCCCAUUUUUUAUAGUCUACCUCUAAUCAAAACCAUGUAGUGUAGAUUUUCUUAAACAAUAUUAAGUA